rnacentral:lncRNA from 1 species
UUUUUGUUAUGGUUUUGUAGAAAAGGAAGAAAUUGAAAUGUUGGAGAAAAAGUGCAAAAAAUGACAGCAAAAGUGAUUGGACCAGUGAUUUGCCCAAAUCACUCGCAGAAACUGCCCAGAUCACUAGCAGAGAUAGCACAGACUUGCAGAAAGUGAUUGGACCAGUGAUUUGCCCAAAUCACUGCCCCGAUCACAAUGACAGCAGAAAAUACAGCAGAGCGGGAAAUUGUUC